GAAACUAUAUGAGGGGCUUUUUGUCUUUUUUGAUGGAAAACCUAUAGAAAGGGGAGUGAAGGGAAUUCAAGUUCUUCAUUCCUACCUUCUUAAUGUAUCUGAUCAAUUACUCUAAUUCAUUUCAGAUCACAUCUUGUUGAAGCAAAGAGCAUCACCAAUGGUAAGAUUAGUUAGCUUAUAAUUAAUUAAAUUUAGAAUUUUGUGUGGUGACAUAUGUAUAGAUUUAGAUAUAUAUAAUAAUCGCGUGCCUGGCUCCCUGUAUGCCAUUUGUAGAGUUCAUCAAACUGGUGAUGACUUUAAUGAAUGGCGUACGAGGAGCCAUGCAUGCUGUAUAUAUUUUUUUAUAUCUUGUACAAGAUUUGGUUCUUAAUUUGCAUGUUGCUCAUAAUUAUGUUUCAUGUUCUUUCAUGGUCUUUGGAUUGAAUCUUCUUUGUUUAGGUGUCUAGAUAAUUAGUAAUAAUGCAAUAAUAUUGUUCAAGGGAGUUAGGUUUUACCAUGAGUUCCUAGUCCAAGAUGCCUUUGACUUGGUUAGAUUAGAUAACUACUAUAUAGAUAACAAAUAAUUUCAUGAAUUCGUGUAGUUAAGAAAUUUUUUAGUUGUAUUAAUUUAGUAAUUAAUAAUUGUUGCAAAAAUGUGAUUAUAUUUAUUUUAUUUUUAGAUUUUGAAUUGAUAUAUGUAACAAUAUUUUUUUUUACUUUUAUAGAAUGAUGUCAUUUUUUGGUUUUUGGUUUUAACAAGGAUAUGACAAUUUGUUGGGGUGUUUAUAUUUUAUUAGUAUAUUAUUUUUUAACAUUGUUUAUUUUUUUUUUAUCAGUUUAUAAGUUUCAUAUUUGACUUAUGCAAUCGUCCAUGUAUAAAGAACAUUAUUACACUCAAGUGGACGUAGUCACCAAUCGUUUUCAUAGUUCUGUUGUCAUAUUUCUUUUGUAAUUGAGUAGUUAACAUCUUAGGCAUAUAAAUUUGUAUAUUUUGAAAAAUUUAUGUGGCUGAUAUGGUUAGGAAUUGUAGAGGGGAUGAGAUUGAAGGAGAAACUGUUUUCAUUGGAAGGAAGAGUUACUCUUGCAAUGUAUUUUUUUGUUGGAUAACUUUUUGGUGCAGGAAAGGAAUAUAAGUCUAACAUGUGGGUUUGGAGAAAUGAACGUUAUGAAGAGAUAUAGUUAAAGGUGCUUAUCAAAUGUUUUACGAUUGAUAAGAGUGAAGGUUUUGGUCUAGCUACUAAGAUUAUUUUGAAUAAGAUGCUUCUUUUGAAGGUAACACUCUUUGCUUGGGGAUCGUAGUAUAAUAGUAGAAUUUAAAGUGAAAUUGUUUUUUUUUUUGGUGAAUCAAUUUAAAGUGAAAAUAUAUUUUGGUAGUACAUAAAUUUUUGGGGAUGAAUUAGUCUCUUAAUGAAAUGGAGACAAAUUCGACUUCAAUAUGAAAAUUUUAGGGACUAAUUUAAUUUAUUUUUUUGACAAAAAUACACUUAGUUGUUUUAAUUUAUGAUAGUAGAUUCAAUAAGAUUUACAAGAAUUAAAAACUUGAAGAUUAGUGAUAAAACGAGAUGCUUGAGCUUAGACUAAACUGACCAAUUAAAAAUUUGUGAAGGCUCAAAAUCGAUUUACUUCCAUCUUUUAUCUCCAACCUCUUCUCCGCGAGGUUAUUUCUCUUAUCCACCUCCAUCCAUAUUAAUCAUAUUCACCGUGAGGCAAACUCUUGUGCUGAUGCUCUUGCGUUUAAAAAGGCCACGGUGUUGGUUUUCACGCAUGUUAUGCUAUAUUCAAUUCCCGCUUAUAUUAGUAUUCUUCUUUAUAAAGACUUAAGGGGGGUCUGUUCCUCUGUAGUCGUGCCUUAGUUUUUCUCUUAUUUUCCUUUAUUUAUCAAAAAAUAAUAAUGAUCACAAAGUUGACCGAUUAGAAAUUUGUGAAGGAUCAUUUUUACUUUAGAAUAAUAAUCACAAAGGAUAGUGUGUUGGUAUCUCUUUAUCUCUCUUUACCCCAACAUAUUUUAAAAUAUUCUCAUUCUACCUUUAUAUUAAAAGUGUGUUGGUAUCUUAAAAGUGUGCUGGUAUGUUAAAAGUGUGCUGGUAUAUAUGUUAAUUAAAGUGUGCUGGUAUGUUAAAAAUGUGUUGGUAUGUUAAAAUUGCAUCAAAAGUGUGCUGGUAUGUUAAAACUGCAGUAUGUUAAAAGUGUCAACCCAACAAUACAAUCAGUUUUGAUAAUUAUUUCAUAGAGGCUGAAAUUUGUUUAAUCGAUAUGGACUUAAGAUUCAAAAUACAUAGCAUGAAUCUUUACUGCUUAAUGUCAUUCCAUCGGACUAGAUUGCAAAUAAACAAGAAUUAUACACAAUAAAACACUGUCUGUCUAUAUAGAGGUGCUUUUACUCAGCGGAUCCAGUCAGUUAUUAGUCCCAACAGAUUUUGACAAAUGGCCAUUAUAUGUAAGCAACUCAGCUAAUAGCAUCCCUAAUUUAAUUACAACAAUUUCUGAAUAGAGUAAAUUGCACAGAACCAUUGUGUAACAGAGUUGCAUGAUGGUAUACUCUUAACAAGUUUGGUGCAUGUAAUUCAGAUAAAGAAAAGGAACUCCUACUUAUAAAAAGAGUAAACUCUCAAUUUGGUCCUCUCAAAAGACUGUGAUGCAGCAAAUUAUCCCUCUAAAGUUUUUACUUCAAAGAGUAAAGUGCCACCAUACUAGACCUUCAUUGAAUAAUGUCCUCUCAAA
rnacentral:lncRNA from 1 species